rfam:Sphaerobolus stellatus SS14 unplaced genomic scaffold SPHSTscaffold_105, whole genome shotgun sequence.
GCUUCCUUGGGCUCAGUUGGUAUAGCGUUGGUCUCAUAGUUUCAUAUGAGGGUGGAUACGCCUGCAAUCCAAAGGUCGCCAGUUCGAGCCUGGCAAGGAGCA